GUUUCUUCUAUUUGAGGCGUGGUUGAUUUGGGAGAUGUGUUCCUGAGUCAAACAGUUUAAAGGCUUAAUUGUCAACUUAAUUAAGUGAAUCAGUCCCUUCCCUAGAUUUAUUCAUCUGAACUUAAUAAUUUAUAGGGAAAAAAUUUCCUCUUUUGGAAUUCGUAAUUUAAAUUUGCCUGUGUGACUGAACUUAAUAAUGCACUGUAUGUUACUAUGCAAAAUUUCGUUAGAUCUGUAUUGAACCUCUGAAUUCAGACUUGGAUCACUGGAUUAUUAUUCAAUUCUUUGUAUGCUACGGAGCUACAUAAGUAUUACUUGAUCAUUGUAGUGUCAUAUGUGUUCAAUGUAUAAUAACAUCGAUCUCUAUUACUAUAAUUAAUACACCAGUUUUGAAUUUAGCGUUACCACCCCACCUUCUGUUUUCCCGCCUAAAGAUAUAGCAUGUCAAUCAUAGUUUUAAGUAGUGCGUUAUCUCGGUGCUAUUGUGUUUGCAGGGGCCUCGCGCUAAAGCUAUAAUCUUAAUAUCCAGCAUUGAAUUUACAACCUCUGUUUAUCUCUACCCUACAUAAAUUACAUAGCCGCCGAGUUGGACGGCCAAAGUCAGCUGGAUUCACUCGGCUUUCCUGGUAGCAUCUAGUUGUGUUUGCAUAGAUAUGUAUUUUCGCAUAUGAACUUCUGAUUAGAAUGUUUCUCUAAUGGUCUAAUUUAUGGUUCUGUUGUGCAGGACUCUUGGUUUCUGUGGUGGUGAAUUUUUUAUCUGUCCUUGGUAGAGAUUUGUAGGUUGAACCGGCCAGGGGAAUUAUGCCAAAAACUCUCCACAUUCUGCUGGUACUACAAGAGCAAAGAGGCACCAAGCAAAUCCUCAUAAGAGGGAUGAUGAGAUCAUUGAGGAGAGCAAUGUUACCACCAACAUUACUCACGGGGACAUAGCCAGCAAGAGACCAAAGAGAUGAGUUGCCCGUUCGAAUUUCAAAGAGAAUGCAUUUGACUUAUCGGAAGAAGAUUCACAUGUCACAACCAAGGAAAUCUGAACUGAGGAGGAAAUAGAGGUUGUUAGGUUGACAAGAACAAGACCUGAAGUGAUGGUGUCUUCAUGACAGCCCUAAUCAUGCCCUUAGAUGAUGGUGUGGAAAAGGACAGGAAAAAGGGCAUACACUAUGUGAGAUUUGGGUGCAUUUGGGUGCAUGAUGGGCUAGUCAAUUUCGGGCUAUAAAGAAGCCAGAAAGCUCAUGUAUGUGUUGAAGUUUACAAGAAACUAGCUAGAUCAGUAAACGGAAAUCCUUUGCUGAACAUGGAAGAGUAGCUCGCUAGCGUUGUUCGUUCCAUCAAUUCAAGCAAAAGCUUCAAUGGAAUGGAAAAGUGAGCAAGGACUUUUGAUCUUCAUGAGUGAGUUCAUUCAUAACCAGCUCACUACACUGGAUCAUGCAGCAAACAACGAUAAUGAGAUGUUUUCCAUGCUGCCAGUUCUUGUCGCCCUAGGAAAUGAGUGUAAAUCUAAAGUGAGAUUCAGCAAGUCGGUAUCUUUGGUAUCAGGUGGAGUUCUUGAGGUGACAUCUGAUCGGGCCACGAGGGGUGCUUAGCUCAAGAACGCCAAAGGGCCAUUUUUCAUGCACUGGCGGAGCAGAGGGUCCACCCUGCUCCCUGAGAAAUAUUGCAAGGCAAAGCUUGUCCUAAUGGUAAACACCCUGCUAUUCUUCUGGCUUCUCUAAUCUUCCUUGCACUUUUGCCCGAUUUGGUUCACGCUCCACCAAUGAUUUCAUGCAAGGAGGCGGCCACUCUGAGGUCGGCGGCAGUGGUAGGUGGGGAGCCCAUCAACCCAAGGAAGAAGAGAGGCUCCAGAUGUUCACAUGACAGCACGCGGACAAAACAGUCAUUUUCAUAUUGCCAUAAUUGGUUUCCAAAAAUACCAUAUAUACUUUUCCUAAUAUAAAUGCACACCAA